GAUGAACGCUAGCGGGAGGCCUAACACAUGCAAGCCGAGCGGGAUUUGUUGGUUAGCUUGCUAACUAACAAUGAGAGCGGCGUACGGGUGCGUAGCACGUGUGCAACCUGCCUUUAUCUGGGGGAUAGCCUUUCGAAAGGAAGAUUAAUACCCCAUAACAUAUUGAUUGGCAUCAGUUAAUAUUGAAAGCUCCGGCGGAUAGAGAUGGGCACGCGUAAGAUUAGCUAGUUGGUGAGGUAACGGCUCACCAAGGCUGCGAUCUUUAGGGGGCCUGAGAGGGUGAUCCCCCACACUGGUACUGAGACACGGACCAGACUCCUACGGGAGGGAGCAGUGAGGAAUAUUGGACGAUGGGGGAGAGCCUGAUCCAGCCAUCCCGCGUGAAGGACUAAGGACCUAUGGUUUGUAAACUUCUUUUAUACAGGGAGAAACCUACUCUCGUGAGGGUAGCUGAAGGUACUGUAUGAAUAAGCACCGGCUAACUCCGUG
rnacentral:rRNA from 1 species